rfam:Schistosoma haematobium scaffold135_11, whole genome shotgun sequence.
GCACUGCUGAGUAGUCCGACAAUAGGGCGAAACGGCCGUCCAGUGC